CGUGUGGUUCUAUUUUGUUGGUUUCUAGGACCGCCGUAAUGAUUAAUAGGGACAGUCGGGGGCAUCAGUAUUCAAUUGUCAGAGGUGAAAUUCUUGGAUUUAUUGAAGACUAACUACUGCGAAAGCAUUUGCCAAGGAUGUUUUCAUUAAUCAGGAACGAAAGUUAGGGGAUCGAAGACGAUCAGAUACCGUCGUAGUCUUAACCAUAAACUAUGCCGACUAGGGAUCGGACGAUGUUAUUUUUUGACUCGUUCGGCACCUUACACGAAAGUACAAGUUUCUGGGUUCCGGGGGGAGUAUGGUCGCAAGGCUGAAACUUAAAGAAAUUGACGGAAGGGCACCACCAGGGGUGGAGCCUGCGGCUUAAUUUGACUCAACACGGGGAAACUCACCAGGUCCAGACACGACGAGGAUUGACAGAUUGAGAGCUCUUUCUUGAUUUCGUGGGUGGUGGUGCAUGGCCGUUCUUAGUUGGUGGAGUGAUUUGUCUGCUUAAUUGCGAUAGCGAACGAGACCUUAACCUGCUAAAUAGCCCGCGUUGCUUUGGCAGCGCGCCGGCUUCUUAGAGGGACUAUCGGCUCAAGCCGACGGAAGUUUGAGGCAAUAACAGGUCUGUGAUGCCCUUAGAUGUUCUGGGCUGCACGCGCGUUACACUGACGGAGCCAGCGAGUACUUCCUUGGCCGAAAGGCCCGGGUAAUCUUGUUAAACUCCGUCGUGC
rnacentral:rRNA from 1 species